GGAAGGAGACUUUCAGAGAUGGAUUGGUGCCUUCGGGAACUCUGAGACAGGUGCUGCAUGGCUGUCGUCAGCUCGUGUUGUGAAAUGUUGGGUUAAGUCCCGCAACGAGCGCAACCCUUAUCCUUGUUUGCCAGCGAGUAAUGUCGGGAACUCCAGGGAGACUGCCGGUGAUAAACCGGAGGAAGGUGGGGACGACGUCAAGUCAUCAUGGCCCUUACGAGUAGGGCUACACACGUGCUACAAUGGCGCAUACAGAGGGCGGCCAACUUGCGAGAGUGAGCGAAUCCCAAAAAGUGCGUCGUAGUCCGGAUCGGAGUCUGCAACUCGACUCCGUGAAGUCGGAAUCGCUAGUAAUCGUGGAUCAGAAUGCCACGGUGAAUACGUUCCCGGGUCUUGUACACACCGA
rnacentral:rRNA from 1 species